AGCCCAAACUGUAAACAAUGGCGGAGAACAGACGACAACAGAGCAGAAAAAUGCCCCACCAUUGCCAACUUCAAAGAGAAGAAGUAAAAAGACUGACAUAGAAAAGCAGUGUAAAAACAAAGAACAAGGAUAAAUAUCGGAGCUUCAUUUCAGAGGUGUUCGUCUGGGAAACGCUCGCCCCGUGGCCUCAGCUGUGGAGAAUAUGUGGUGCACUGAGGUGGAUGCCUUCUGGGACCAUGGUGGAGAAUCUCACCCCGAGACCAGAAAAUAACAUGUCUGACACAGCACCUGGGCUUUGAAGCAAGUUGUCGGAAUCCCUUUGUACCAAGUGAACUUCAGGAAGGAGCACAACCCUCUGCAGGCCGACAGAUAGGGAGCACAGGGGACACUGUUAACCUGUCCACUCAGUCCUUUACAACUCGCUGUUCUCCAACACAGAACAUCUCAGGAGGGAGACAAUAAACGCAGAAUCAAUUCUGACAACAGCACAGUCUUCUCCCCUGAAGAAGAGAAGAGAGCACAACAGGGGUUUUUGCAGAGGUGCAGCCUCGGACUGUGGGACCUUCGAAGCAAAUGACUGAAAGCACGUUGCUGGUGACUGAUUAUUGCAAACGAUAAUUGCAGACGCUUUUAUCCAAAGCUACUUGGUAAUCCAUACAUACAUUCAGACACUGAAUGGCUGGUGGCUGCCAUGCAAGGAGAUGACCGGCACAUCAGGAGCAGUUUGGGGUUCAGUGUCUUGCCCAAGGACACUUCAACGUGCAGACCAGGGGAAUCAAACCAGGGACCUUUCAAUAACAAGAUGCUGGCUCUACCCCUGAGCCACAGCUGCUGUAAUGUACCACUUAUGUUUCCAUCAUGGCAAUGAGGAGAUUACCUGGUGUUGCUUCACGGUGUCAUAUACCUUCUAACAACUAAUAAUCACAAAAUGGGUUGCAGGCAUCAUAUCCUCAGUGUUUGUAUUUACUCAGUAAUCAAUAUCAAUAUAGGCAAUUUUCCUAUAUUUUACUUUUUUGUUGACAUAAUUGUUUUCCUUCUGUUUGGCUACAAAUAAUUCAAGUCCCUGCUUUAUGUAAUCUCCAGAUGCAUGAACGUUCUCUAUUUUAAAAGAUGAAUACACGAGUCGAAAAAACUGGCACACCUCAUAUGAAAAAGUUGCAAACACCAUUAUCAAAGCGAACGAUCUCUCUUUUUUUUUUUCCUCAUAAGAAUCAUUAAAGAAGAAUACGCUUUAGGCCUAGAUGUACUUUUCAGUUUUUGCAUAAUGAGGUCAAAAACAAAAACAAACACAUAUAUCUGCAGUGGUAGGCAAUACUUUCUUUAAAAAUGCCUUCCGUUUUCAAUUAAUGUCAGUGCAGACGCCGGUUUGCAAUUCAUUUCUCCCCCACACGCUCUCAGGUCCUUGCAGCAGAGGGCAAAUGAGUCCUCCUCCUUCACUUAGGUUUUCGUCUUCUCUCAAUAAAGUACAAAAUACGGA